GAAUCUGGGAGGACCAUCUCCUAAGGCUAAAUACUCUCUAGUGACCGAUAGUGAACCAGUACCGUGAGGGAAAGGUGAAAAGCACCCCGGAAGGGGAGUGAAAUAGAACCUGAAACCGUGUGCUUACAAGUAGUCAGAGCCCGUUAAUGGGUGAUGGCGUGCCUUUUGUAGAAUGAACCGGCGAGUUACGAUUUGAUGCAAGGUUAAGCAGUAAAUGUGGAGCCGUAGCGAAAGCGAGUCUGAAUAGGGCGUUUAGUAUUUGGUCGUAGACCCGAAACCAGGUGAUCUACCCUUGGUCAGGUUGAAGUUCAGGUAACACUGAAUGGAGGACCGAACCGACUUACGUUGAAAAGUGAGCGGAUGAACUGAGGGUAGCGGAGAAAUUCCAAUCGAACCUGGAGAUAGCUGGUUCUCUCCGAAAUAGCUUUAGGGCUAGCCUCAAGUGAUGAUUAUUGGAGGUAGAGCACUGUUUGGACGAGGGGCCCCUCUCGGGUUACCGAAUUCAGACAAACUCCGAAUGCCAAUUAAUUUAACUUGGGAGUCAGAACAUGGGUGAUAAGGUCCGUGUUCGAAAGGGAAACAGCCCAGACCACCAGCUAAGGUCCCAAAAUAUAUGUUAAGUGGAAAAGGAUGUGGCGUUGCCCAGACAACUAGGAUGUUGGCUUAGAAGCAGCCAUCAUUUAAAGAGUGCGUAAUAGCUCACUAGUCGAGUGACACUGCGCCGAAAAUGUACCGGGGCUAAACAUAUUACCGAAGCUGUGGAUUGUCCUUUGGACAAUGGUAGGAGAGCGUUCUAAGGGCGUUGAAGCAUGAUCGUAAGGACAUGUGGAGCGCUUAGAAGUGAGAAUGCCGGUGUGAGUAGCGAAAGACGGGUGAGAAUCCCGUCCACCGAUUGACUAAGGUUUCCAGAGGAAGGCUCGUCCGCUCUGGGUUAGUCGGGUCCUAAGCUGAGGCCGACAGGCGUAGGCGAUGGAUAACAGGUUGAUAUUCCUGUACCACCUAUAAUCGUUUUAAUCGAUGGGGGGACGCAGUAGGAUAGGCGAAGCGUGCGAUUGGAUUGCACGUCUAAGCAGUAAGGCUGAGUAUUAGGCAAAUCCGGUACUCGUUAAGGCUGAGCUGUGAUGGGGAGAAGACAUUGUGUCUUCGAGUCGUUGAUUUCACACUGCCGAGAAAAGCCUCUAGAUAGAAAAUAGGUGCCCGUACCGCAAACCGACACAGGUAGUCAAGAUGAGAAUUCUAAGGUGAGCGAGCGAACUCUCGUUAAGGAACUCGGCAAAAUGACCCCGUAACUUCGGGAGAAGGGGUGCUCUUUAGGGUUAACGCCCAGAAGAGCCGCAGUGAAUAGGCCCAAGCGACUGUUUAUCAAAAACACAGGUCUCUGCUAAACCGUAAGGUGAUGUAUAGGGGCUGACGCCUGCCCGGUGCUGGAAGGUUAAGAGGAGUGGUUAGCUUCUGCGAAGCUACGAAUCGAAGCCCCAGUAAACGGCGGCCGUAACUAUAACGGUCCUAAGGUAGCGAAAUUCCUUGUCGGGUAAGUUCCGACCCGCACGAAAGGCGUAACGAUUUGGGCACUGUCUCAACGAGAGACUCGGUGAAAUCAUAGUACCUGUGAAGAUGCAGGUUACCCGCGACAGGACGGAAAGACCCCGUGGAGCUUUACUGUAGCCUGAUAUUGAAAUUCGGCACAGCUUGUACAGGAUAGGUAGGAGCCUUUGAAACGUGAGCGCUAGCUUACGUGGAGGCGCUGGUGGGAUACUACCCUAGCUGUGUUGGCUUUCUAACCCGCACCACUUAUCGUGGUGGGAGACAGUGUCAGGCGGGCAGUUUGACUGGGGCGGUCGCCUCCUAAAAGGUAACGGAGGCGCUCAAAGGUUCCCUCAGAAUGGUUGGAAAUCAUUCAUAGAGUGUAAAGGCAUAAGGGAGCUUGACUGCGAGACCUACAAGUCGAGCAGGGUCGAAAGACGGACUUAGUGAUCCGGUGGUUCCGCAUGGAAGGGCCAUCGCUCAACGGAUAAAAGCUACCCCGGGGAUAACAGGCUUAUCUCCCCCAAGAGUUCACAUCGACGGGGAGGUUUGGCACCUCGAUGUCGGCUCAUCGCAUCCUGGGGCUGUAGUCGGUCCCAAGGGUUGGGCUGUUCGCCCAUUAAAGCGGUACGCGAGCUGGGUUCAGAACGUCGUGAGACAGUUCGGUCCCUAUCCGUCGUGGGCGUAGGAAAUUUGAGAGGAGCUGUCCUUAGUACGAGAGGACCGGGAUGGACAUACCUCUGGUGUACCAGUUGUCGUGCCAACGGCAUAGCUGGGUAGCUAUGUGUGGACGGGAUAAGUGCUGAAAGCAUCUAAGCAUGAAGCCCCCCUCAAGAUGAGAUUUCCCAACUUCGGUUAUAAGAUCCCUCAAAGAUGAUGAGGUUAAUAGGUUCGAGGUGGAAGCAUGGUGACAUGUGGAGCUGACGAAUACUAA
rnacentral:rRNA from 1 species